rnacentral:ncRNA from 1 species
GCCAGUACCCUGAAACUGUGAAUGGCUCAUUAAAUCAGUUACGGUUCCUUCGGUCACUGUAUCCAGUACCUGGAGAACGGUGGUAAUUCCAGACAUGCCAAUGAGCUCUGACCUCAGGUGAUGUGUGCAUUUAUCAGACCAAAACCAACCCACUCAUCUGCUUUCGUGAUUCUAGAUAAGCCUGGGCUACGCACACGACCCUGUGCUGAGAUGGUGCAACAAUGUCUGUCCUACCAACUUUUGAUGGUAUUUCAUGUAGCUAAGAUGGUGACCACGGGUAACAGGA